AGUGAACGCUGGCGGUAGGCCUAACACAUGCAAGUCGAACGGCAGCACAGUAAGAGCUUGCUCUUACGGGUGGCGAGUGGCGGACGGGUGAGGAAUACAUCGGAAUCUACUUUUUCGUGGGGGAUAACGUAGGGAAACUUACGCUAAUACCGCAUACGACCUACGGGUGAAAGCAGGGGAUCUUCGGACCUUGCGCGAUUGAAUGAGCCGAUGUCGGAUUAGCUAGUUGGCGGGGUAAAGGCCCACCAAGGCGACGAUCCGUAGCUGGACUGAGAGGAUGAUCAGCCACACUGGAGCUGAGACACGGUCCAGAGUCCUACGGGAGGCAGCAGUGGGGAAUAUUGGACAAUGGGCGCAAGCCUGAUCCAGCCAUACCGCGUGGGUGAAGAAGGCCUUCGGGUUGUAAAGCCCUUUUGUUGGGAAAGAAAAGCAGCAGGUUAAUACCCCGCUGUUCUGACGGUACCCAAAGAAUAAGCACCGGCUAACUUCGUG
rnacentral:rRNA from 1 species